rnacentral:rRNA from 1 species
UACAGAGGUCCCAAGCGUUGUUCGGAUUUACUGGGCGUAAAGGGUGCGUAGGUGGUUGGAUAAGUCUGAUGUGAAAUCUCCGAGCUUAACUCGGAAUGGCAUUGGAAACUAUUCGACUAGAGAGUUGGAGGGGGACUGGAAUACUUGGUGUAGCAGUGAAAUGCGUAGAUAUCAAGUGGAACACCAGUGGCGAAGGCGACGUCCUGGACAACUUCUGAGCCACUGAGGCACGAAGCUAGGGGAGCAAACAGG